ensembl:lncRNA
CCUGUGAGUGUGAUCUGAGGGAGUCAGUCUGUGCUGUAACUCCACCUUGCCUCCUCCUGCCACCUGUGCUGCUGCCGCGUGGGGAACACAGUGUCUUUUGUGUUUCCAAAGAAGCCGGAGCUGAGUCGUCCCCACAACAGGGGGUGGAGGUACAUGUAGGGGUCACGACAGGUGGCUUCUACACUUCCUGAGGGUGUGUAGUAAAAUACAUGUGUGAGUGUGUGUCUGUCUGUCUGUAUGUAUGUAUGUAUGUAUGUAUGGAUGUAUGUAUGUAUGGAUGUAUGUAUGUAUGUACAGGCUGUUCUAGGAACAGCUGGGGCUAGGUCCCCCUUACCUCCGGACAGUGUCUGUUCACAGUGCCACCAGAGACAGUCAGUAUGUAUGUAACAGACGGGGCAGUUUGAUAUACUCUGUAUUGAUUGUAUGAUAUUAGCUUCAUUGAGAGGUUCUCCCUAAUGAGUAAAGACCAAGUAAAAACACCUUUGAAUAGUUGAAUGUCGACUAAGUUGGUCCUACCAUUUUGCACUCAUUAUCAACAUGUGGUUUCUAAACACUCCAAAGUAGAGGAUAGUGUGUGUGCUUGUGUGUAUAGCUGUGUGUGUGCGUGUGUGUGUGUAUAGCUGUGUGUGUGUUUGUUCAUGAGGUUAUCAAUCUAGUGAUCUCGGUGCCCAAAAUACAUGACACCACCAUGGGUGAGAAAGAGAAGAGGAGAGACCAAACUAGGGUCAUGUCUGAGACCGGGGGAAGAAGUCUCUGAAGAGGAGAGACCAAACUAGAGUCAUGUCUGAGACCGGGGGAAGAAGUCUCUGAAGAGGAGAGACCAAACUAGAGUCAUGUCUGAGACCGGGGGAAGAAGUCUCUGAAGAGGAGAGACCCAACUAGAGUCAUGUCUGAGACCGGGGGAAGAAGUCUCUGAAGAGGAGAGACCAAACUAGAGUCAUGUCUGAGACCGGGGGAAGAAGUCUCUGAAAAGGAGAGACCCAACUAGAGUCAUGUCUGAGACCGGGGGAAGAAGUCUCUGAAGAGGAGAGACCAACUAGAGUCAUGUCUGAGACCGGGGGAAGAAGUCUCUGAAGAGGAGAGACCAAACUAGAGUCAUGUCUGAGACCGGGGGAAGAAGUCUCUGAAGAGGAGAGACCAAACUAGAGUCAUGUCUGAGACCGGGGAAAGAAGUCUCUGAAGAGGAGAGACCAACUAGAGUCAUGUCUGGUCAACACUACUGCACUAUUUAUAGGGAAUAGGGUGCUGUUUGGGAUGUCGUCCUUGACUUCUUCUGCUGUAUCUUAUCAGACUGCUGGGUUAGAUGUGCAACUCUCCCACUAAUGUGUG